AAUAAUCACACUCUCAUGCUGCAUGAAAUUAAAGUAUGAACUUUCCUUAACCCAUUACGUGUGCAUGAACUCAACAAAUGCAGUCCAUGCGUCUGUAUCGAUUCGCUCGAUCGAGUCAUUUUAUGUUUCGUCCCGAAGAAGAUCCAAAUCGUUUGUGAAUCUCAUCACUGUUAGAAAUCCAAGAGAAGAGAUCCUCUUCCCUUAACAUCAUCAGAGGAAAAAUCUGCUUCUUAAUCAAUUAGUUUCAGCGUUUGGACUCUGUGGUCUGUGUGUUCUGGUAUCUGCUGAGUCACCAGAAAUCUGCCAAGACACUGACACUUGCGCCUGCUCCAACAUCUGGCGCAUAAGGGCUUUAAGGUUUCCAGAACCAAGCUGCAAUAUUGCAUGGACACUUAAGUAUUUGAACUUUUGAACUUUCUCAAGCUGUCAUUCUAGCACUGAUGUCUUUUCUGGGUCAGAAAAUGGAUCCCUGACUGCUCUUUCUCCGUUCUGCAAUCUCUCAUCAUGAUCCACUGCAACAUCCUUUGACCUGGACUGACGCUAUGGUGGUCGCUUAUCACUCCCUCAGAAACACCCUUUGUUCCGCCCCUGGGUCACCUGCUCACUUCAAGCCCUUCCACCUCUAUGCCUGUGAACACCGGGGCACAGCCUCUGGGGAGCAUGAGGGGGGGAAAUGCAUCAUUGUGCGUUUUUAUCCAAAACAUUAGACAUUGUUGCUCAAGGCUUACCUGCGUGUCUAGGGGCUGUCUCCGCAUGUGCUUUGAUGGUUUUAGAUGCGGAAAAAUUGGUUUUGUCUUACCCACUGAUCUUGCACUCGUCACAUCAAGUUAAACAGGUGUUGCAAAAUUUACAGACCCAUUAAAUUAAUUUAAUAGAUAAUUAAAUUAACAUAUGACUAUUUAUUCUCUGUUCUACUAACAAUCUCGAAAUUUGUGUCACAUCCUCUUUUGAUAAUGUAGGUCGCGCUCUCGCACGUCUCCUUAAUUCUCGGGAUGAUACUUGGGAUGACAUUGAUAUUGUCUGUCUAAAAAUCGUACAUACUACUAGUAUCAGGUCUGAUCUCUCCUCCAGCCCUCUAGGGAUGGGGGAAGUACUCUUUGUUUUGAUGGUUCUUGUUCUAUAAUUUAUGAUAUUUAUCAUACCUCCGUGGUUAUUCUGUGUUCAAUCAAUAUCAGCCUGAUAUUCUGCAUGAGACAUACGCUCUUUCUUUCUCAUUUGAUUUUUGUCAUCUUGAUUGUGGACAAAUUCUCUAAAUGGGUAGAAGUUUUUCCCUGUUCUCGAGAGAACACGAAGGUAGUUCACUCGUACUCUGGCAAAAGAAAUAAUACCUAGUUAUAAUAAUAAUAAUGAUACAUUUUAUUUAUAAGUGCCUUUCAAGGUACCUAAGGACACUGGACAGUAAAAAAAAAGAAAACAAACAAUAAAAGCAGAACAAUAAAAUAACAAAAUAAUAAGAAAUCAAUAAUAAAUAUUGCUAUAGUUAUGGGGUUUCAAAUGCCAUAGACUCAGACAAGGGUACCCGUUUUACCUCAAAAGUCACACAAAACCUUUGUAAGUAUCUCUAAACUAAACUGGUGUUUUCACAUUCCUCAAUCCUCUGGUAUCGUAGAACGUACUAAUCGAAUAUUGAAAGACAAAUUAAUUAAGGUCAUGCAGGACACAGGUUUGGUUCUGUAAUCCAUAAUUCAUUCUGGCUGAAAUUCGUGUGACACCAAAAAAUUAUUUUUGGAAAUAAAGUUCUCCCCUGGAAGAAGGGAACUCUGGCUCUGGGUACCUCUGAUUUGAAAAUGCAUAUGGAUGAGUAUUCUGCAGCCCUUAUAGAUAGGUUGCAUAAAAUUUGUGCCAAGGUCAAUAAUACAAUAUUAUCUCCACCACACACCCCUUUCACGUGGGAGACAAGUGCUGGUGUGAUUUUUUUUAAAGUAAUGAUUUGGACAAUUGGGAAAACAAUAUAAUGGGCCUGCAGACAUAGUCGUCAUUACUUUUGCUGCUGUUUUAACUGAUCUUUUUCCACAGUGGAUCCAUGCCACUCGAUUGAAGAAGGCUCCAUAACAAAGUUGUGUUACAAUGACAAGUUUGCUGCUAUUAACGUUUUUUUGCAUCCCUAUCUAGUCUCCCUCUGUCCAGUUUUCUCUCUCUCUGUCUCUCUAUUUCUGAGCUCUACACAGAUUUGAUUGAGAAUCCUCAAGACGUUGUGAACAAAGAGGGGAAGAGAUCUUGCGCCCCGUUUGGAACCAAUCAUCCUCACUACAACCAUGACAGUCCUCAUCACGGGUUUCGUGACUUCAUUGUUGCUCGGGGCAGGGCUACCCGCCCGAGCCUUCGUGACUGCUACAUCUUCGCUCGGGGCAGGGUUACCCGCCCGAGCCUUCUGGACCACUUCAUUGCUCGGAGCAGGGUUACCCGCUCGAGCUGGACUUCAUUGCUCGGAGCAGGGUUACCCGCUCGAGCUGGACUUCGAGACAACAUCUUCUGGACUAACUUCGCUAACUGGACUGCACAAGCGCACACCACACGAAUGUGUUAUGUCUUUCAUCUGAUGCCGUUUUCUACUGUUAUUACACAUCUCCAUGCUCUGAAACUCUGUAUUCUUACAGGACUCUGUUCUCACUAUAGGUCGAUAUGCCUUCUAAUUUCAUUUUUCCUCACUGUUUUAGAACAAAUUACUCUGAAGGAAGUAGCGUGUAUUUGGGAAUUAAGAGGUUUUAAGUUUCUCUAAGCUCCGGUGAGGUGGGACGAGGGCUGAUCGGGCAUGCCCGCCCUCUGAGCACCAAUAUACGUCAAGAAGGGCAAAGAUUAACUCAAGAUUAAUUCUCGAUGUAAUCACAUAUAUGAUCAUGAGGUGAUAAUAUAUGGUCCUAGGAUUUGAUAAUAGUGAUACUAUUAUCAAAGGGGGGAUUGUUAGGUUUAUAUAAGUAUUAUUCUUGACCAAGAAGGCAGUAAUUUAUUAAAAUGGUGACAAAAUUAAGGAUAAACUUAAGGUUCAGUUAAAAAUGACCUUCUGUCUCGGCUGGACAUUGUUUGGGAACAUUUUGUUUAUGAAAUGUGUAUUUUUGAUCAGAGAUGUGUCUGAAUGACACCAAGGUCUGUUUUGAUGUCAGAUCGACCUACACACACUUUAAUGUUGGAUGUAAUGGUAGCCUUAUUGCUGAACAAAGAGUUAAGACUUUAUAUUUUAAGAUCCUUUAUUAUUUUGGACUAUUGCAUAUACUGUGGCAGUGAUUUUAAACUGUUCCUGUGUAGCCUGACCUUCGGAGAACAACACUUCUUUGUUAGACCAAACAUAGUCUUUGUUUAAAACAUUGUCGUAAAAACAUCUCGCGCGCUUUGACGUGCGUAAAUGAAAUUGCUGAAUUGCUGAAAUAUUAUUUUGCUUAUGAUUGAAGGUUUCAUUCACACACACACACACACACACACACAUACAUAUGGAAUUAAGAUGUGAUUUGCUGACCUAGCACAUAGACACAGAUAUCAAAAUGAUGUCACUCACUCACACCCUCCCAUAGACACACACACACACCCCUCUCUGAGGUCACAUACAAACACACACACACAUUUGACAGACACAAUAGCCGUUUGGAGAGAUGAUUUGUUAUAAAAGGUGUUUGUAAUCUUUCAUCUUUGGCGAGAAUACUGUGAAUAAACAGUAGUUAAACCGA